CACUCUUCUAUUGAUAGCUGGCCCCGCUCUCCACCCCGCCUGCCCUACUCCUUUAUUUCAUGGGUCAGCCGUUCAGGCACACCAAACUCUCCUAGAACCCCAGCUUUGGAAAUGCUCAGAAAGUAACAUUAGCAAACGGCUUAAGGACCUAGAAAAGAAAGCAAUUGUACAGCUUUAGUAGCCAUGAGAAUAAAAGAGAGAGCUGGUAAAGAAUAGCUCAGAAAUUCAGAAGGAAAAAAGGUGGGGAUGGUACUAGUCACCGAAAGCACCCAGUAUCCUCAUGUUCAAAAGCAUCAUUUUAAGCCACUAACAAUGAGACAACUAUUCCUGCAUUUGGUUUAGAAAUGAAAGAUGGAAAGGGAGACAGAGAGUGAGUGAGAGAGAAUUAGAGUGAGAACAAGAGCGAGGCGAAAGAAAGAGGAGCGGUUAGGAAUUCUGGAGAAUUCUACGGCAGCACUUCCAAUAGAACGCUCUACAAUAAUGGAAGCAUUCUAUCCCGCAUCAUCCAACAGGACCAUCAACUGGGCCCCUUGACACGCCUGAGAAAUGCUUGUGUUUCACUUUUAUGAAUCUGGUCCUGAUACCCACCACGAGAGUUCCGGUACUGACCCCGACCAUCAAUCUCUAGACUGGAGGCUGUACAGAAACAUGCCCUGAGUCUCUUCCACAGCUCUUGCCACCCUGUGGCUGGGAGUGGGGGAGUCUGGCUACCCAGGAUCCAGCUACUGUCCACGGUAGAAUGUACUAGCAUUCUUACAUGGAAGGCUGUAUAACACAAGUAGAAGCAAGGUCAAUUCUGCUGGCUAUAAGGGGUCUUCCUGCCUCUUCAUCUACAAGUUUCCAGGCAGGAAGAGACUUUUGUUCUCAUUUGCUGUUACAAUAUAGCAUCCGAAACCAUCCCCAGUGCUAAUAGAAGUGCAAUAAAUUCAUGAUACAUGUGAGCA
rnacentral:lncRNA from 1 species